rnacentral:hammerhead_ribozyme from 17 species
AAUUUGUCGGGAGCUAUUGUCGUUCCCCUUAUGAGUCCAUGGCAGGGCGAAACUAAUU